GUGAACGCUGGCGGUAGGCCUCACACCUGCAAGUCGAACGGCAGCACAGUAAGAGCUUGCUCUUACGGGUGGCGAGUGGCGGACGGGUGAGGAAUACAUCGGAAUCUACUUUUUCGUGGGGGAUAACGUAGGGAAACUUACGCUAAUACCGCAUACGACCUACGGGUGAAAGCAGGGGAUCUUCGGACCUUGCGCGAUUGAAUGAGCCGAAGUCGGAUUAGCUAGUUGGCGGGGUAAAGGCCCACCAAGGCGACGAUCCGUAGCUGGUCUGAGAGGAUGAUCAGCCACACUGGAACUGAGACACGGUCCAGACUCCUACGGGAGGCAGCAGUGGGGAAUAUUGGACAAUGGGCGCAAGCCUGGUCCAGCCAUACCGCGUGGGUGAAGAAGGCCUUCGGGUUGUAAAGCCCUUUUGUUGGGAAAGAAAAGCAGCAGGUUAAUACCCCGCUGUUCUGACGGUACCCAAAGAAUAAGCACCGGCUAACUUCGUG
rnacentral:rRNA from 1 species